GAUGAACGCUGGCGGCGUGCUUAACACAUGCAAGUCGAACGGUGAAGGCGGAGCUUGCUCUGCUGGAUCAGUGGCGAACGGGUGAGUAACACGUGAGCAAUCUGCCCCUGACUCUGGGAUAAGCGCUGGAAACGGCGUCUAAUACUGGAUACGAGCUGCGAAGGCAUCUUCAGCAGCUGGAAAGAAUUUCGGUCAGGGAUGAGCUCGCGGCCUAUCAGCUUGUUGGUGAGGUAAUGGCUCACCAAGGCGUCGACGGGUAGCCGGCCUGAGAGGGUGACCGGCCACACUGGGACUGAGACACGGCCCAGACUCCUACGGGAGGCAGCAGUGGGGAAUAUUGCACAAUGGGCGAAAGCCUGAUGCAGCAACGCCGCGUGAGGGACGACGGCCUUCGGGUUGUAAGCCUCUUUUAGCAGGGAAGAAGCGAAAGUGACGGUACCUGCAGAAAAAGCGCCGGCUAACUACGUG
rnacentral:rRNA from 1 species